GGUGAAAUGAGGUUGUCCAAAAGGGCAACCAGCCAGGGCUGUAGGGUUUUACAGUAAAAAGAGAACAGCACUGACCUGAAGCAGAUAGAUCUGACUGUGGAGCAAAAGCUAAGCUCAAGGUGCAUCAAAGACAGAGCAUGUAGGCGGCUGUCAGCUUCCUAAUCCUGGAUUUAUUGGCAGCAAGGAGAGGAGAGAGGAGGCUCAUUUCAGGGACCAAGAGGACAAACCUAUUCUUGGCACCUUGGAGGGCUUUCCUGAUGCUGGUUAGAUGCACUGGAGUCUCCAGGGGCUCCCAUGAAUGUCACCCUUCCCAAAGCCAAAGAUGAUCCACCUCUGCAAGCAACCCGCUCAUGUUUCCAUUACAACCAGCCCUCAAUUCCCCUUCCUCUCUCAAUCCCACAUUCUGAAUGACAAUUCAGCACCAGCACCUUCACAGCUACUGAUGAGGAGCUCAGACAGAGGAGACAGCUCAAACUCUGUCUCCUUGCAGGGAGGCAAUUCCCAGGACUCUGAUGGACUCUGGAUGUGCCAUGGUGCUCACAGGUUGGUUACAGCUCCAGGAUCUCCAGAUCAGAGCUCCUGGUGCCUGGUUUGGAUUUAUUACCAGGUUAGCAUGAGUUUCCUCACUGUCCUCCAUAGAUUUUAGCAGUUCUUUCAGAAACAAGAGGGCUGUCUCUCUGUUCUUACCUAUGAAGAGUGCCUUUAGCUGGAGUGCUCUUGUAUGAAAACCAGGCAAGAAAACAUUCCAGAAGAAACCAAAAAGCAAGGAAAUCCAUAAUUUUCUUUGUGUUAUUCACAUGGACUCUGCUACCUACAGAAUGUCAAGCACAAUUUGUGUGUCUCACAUUGUGCAAACAUGUAAGCAUCUGGCAGGAGUGCACAACUUACCCAUGGCUGGUGUGAGCAAGUGGAACUUUUGCAUUAAGUAAAGAGCAACAAGUAUUAUGCCAUAUAAAUAAGUGACAGCUUUGGAAAUUAAUUCAUUUUAAAAGAGCCCGUCAACCUGAAACCUGUCCACUUUGCAAAAAAACAUUUCAAAACAUUUUCAGGUUGAUAUCUUCCCUGAAUUUUCCCCAUCACUCUUAGUAUGUCAUUUCUGUAUCAUUUAAACUUGCUCCCUCUUGUUCUGCUGUGAAGAAUACACACACACAGAGACACAAAUCUAGAGGAAAACCAAUCAUGCAGAUUUACAUGAUAAGACAAAACCAGGAAUGUGUCAUAACUGAGGAAAAACUAUCAAGAGAAAUCAACUCAAACCUGAGAGUGAAGGCAGGAAAGAAUGUUAGAUCUUGUAAAACAACUUUCUAACAUACCUGUAAUAAAAUUGAGCCUUAUCUGUUUACCAGGACAAGCAACUCCAAUUCUGUAAAGGACAAGCAACUCCAAUUCUGUAAGCUCUGCACCGGCUUCUAAACCAAUGGGGAGUUGCACUAUUUUAAUUUAAUUUUGUUUUGUUUUAUUACUGACUAGGAGCAUAUCUCAGAACCACCUUCAGCACAUCAUGCCUUGAUGCAGGGAACUUGGGUUUUCACAGCAGCACUGGUUGCAGGCAAAGGGGUCUCAUCAGGCUUUUUUUGCAUUUCCCACUUUGGCUUCAUCCACGGCUAAAAAAAUGAGUCUGCUUAAGCAUAACUCACAGUUAUCUCUUUCAGCUCGUCUGUAAAAUGUGAAUGCAAUGUGUUCCCAUUUAAAGAUCCCUUUGCACUGCGAGAGCCACGUGAAGCACUCUCUAUAGACAGGAGCGCACCCCGAUUAACCUGCCGUGGAAGCAGGAGGGAUGAGGAACCUUUCCAAAAGGCACGGAGAGAUCCACCCAGUGCCAGGGAGCCCACUGGCAGUGUGGGCAGGCGGCACGACCAAGGAUGGGCGACUCUGUCCACCCUGGUGCCGGAGGGAGCUGCUCGGCUCGGUCCUGCAAGCCAGGCGAGAUGUGACUCACGCAGCCUGCUCGCGGAGAAGGAGGACCAUCUGCUAGUCAUGAGCAGAUGACAAAUUCACUGCAUUGCGUCUUGCCGCUACUUCCAAAUCUCAGGUUAUGAUGAAGACAAAAUGCUUUUGUCUGAUCACUUGCUCAUGUUGCAGAGAAAUCUGGAUCCUGUCCCUGCCAGGUGAGUUUCAGGAUUUGUGAGGGUCCAAGCCAGGCUGAUGCAGACAGCUGAAGGCCAGGCUCUGAUCCUCACCACUUCUCCAGGACAGCAGGUGAGAAACUGCAGAGCAGUGGCACAAGCAGGCACCUGGGGUCAUGCUCUGAUGAUUUCUGUGCAGCUCCCCUGGGAAUGUCUGUCUCCUCUCCCUCCUCUUUUUCCUCCUCUUCCAAGCCCCAGCACAAUGUUUCUGUGCCAAACACUCUCCCAUUGUUUCCCCUGUAGGACACUGAGUGCAGCAUAAUUCAUUUCCCUGAUUUGGUUCAGAAGAGCACCAAGCAAGAGACUUGAAGAGCUCCAUAUGUUUAGGCUGUCAAAGGAAAGAUCGAAUAUUCCUUUAUUAUAAGUACCUUAUGUACUUUAAUCAAGCAGAAGGCAAACAUGAAUCAAUAUCUGGGGGUUAAAUCUGGGAAAAUUCAAAUGAGAAAUAAAGCACAGUGUUCUAAGAUAAUGAUUAAUUAUUUUCCAAACUACCACAUGAAGUGGUGAAUCCUUUAUCUCAAACCCAGGUGCCUUUCUGGAGGAGAUGCUUUAGGCAAAUACAAGACGUUGAACCCAGGUAAAGGUAAUUGAGUGAAAUUUUCUGGAACUCAGACCACUAGCUUUCUUGGCCUUGAAGUGCUGAUAUCUAAUAAUCACCUGAUUAUAAAUGGUAUUUAACUUGAACACAAAGCACUCAAGGCAAAAAACCCAAAACAUUUUAGAAGAUUAAAAAGCUUAUCCAUAGUUUAUGCCAUUCAAAUCUGUAAAGCCACAAGAAAAGAUUAUCAUAUUCCCUUCACCAUGGAAACACAAGUACACUGAAGAAAUCAAAAUGUUGGUUGUUGUGUGAUAGAAGACAAAAUGGGACACAAGGGCUGUGAAGUGAAUGGCUAAAGAUUAAUUUAAACAGAAAAAGAAAAGCAACUUGUUACAGACAGAACUUUUUUAAAGACCGAAGGACUCAGUCUCUAAGAUGCAUCCUGUAAUUGCAAUGGGAGGAAAGCAGCAAAAACCACAUUUCUUGGGAAGGGCACUGGUAAAACCCAAAGACCAUACUCAGAAAGCCCAACAUGCAACAGCAAGUUGAGAGGGAAGGUUGUAAGGUAGCAUGGCAAGAUAGAAGAUGAUGAAAAAUAAAAAUCAAGCUAUCCUAAAAGUUGGGCCAGUAAGUAUUACAUGAAAAAAUUUAUGCCAUUUCCCAAAUCUGCACUGAUUUUAAUGUCAUUCACUUCUCUUGUGGCAGUGGAAGGACAGCAGUGUCAGGUUGUUGCUGGCCAUUUUUCAGCUGCUUUCUGUUGCUAAGACACAGAUGUGAUUUUUCAGAUUGCCUGAACAUGACUACCAGUGAGUUUUCUAUUAGAAAUAAAUGUGUAAAGUGACUAUUUCACUGUCGAUACAGAAAUAAUGUCACAAACAUGAAGAACUACUUACAAAAUAAGACAGCUAUAAAUUCACAACCUCUUGGAUAUUGUUUUUUCUCUCCCUGGAGUAAAUCAGGAAUAAGUUGGAGUAAGGGCUGAGGCUUCUUUUGCUCUCAGCAGCUUCUGGGAGGACUUCCCAAAGUCGUGGGACGUGGCAGCCUGUCCCUGAGGGGUAACAUGGAUUAGGUAAGUACAUUUAGCUUCACCUCUCUUUCUUUUGAAAAAAAACACCUUUCUUUUUUUCUUCCCUCAAAGCAACCACAGCAGUUAGCCAGUAUUGAAUACCUUGAGGGUUGUUUCUAUUGGGAAAAGAAGCCAGUGCUGGAGCUGGGUGCUUUGUGCAAGGCUUAUUGUUGAAAAAGGAUGGCAGGAGCCCUAUUUCCCUGAACUCAGCAUGGAUGGACAAUAGGACGCAGUUUCUAUUUCAAGACUCUUUUCAGCCAACACAAUCCAUAACAGAACUUCUUUUUUCCCCUGGUCUCUCUCUCUCUCCACAGCUUUAUCUGAACAGCAGAUGACAAGUAAUUUUCUGGUGUGUCCUCAUUUUCCAUCUCUCUCUAUUUCUUUUCCUGCAGACAGGGCAUGCACACUCAGCUGGUAUUAAUUCAGUCCUUACGUCUUUUUGUUCUCUGUGUUCCCAUUCAGGCUACCAUGUAGAUGGGUUUCUCCCAUGAGGAACAAAGAGGCCAUUAAUUUCUCCACUAAUCAAAGGUAUUAAUGCUCACCAGAUUCAGAGCAGAGAUGUGACUGCACAUGGAUCAAAGACAGGAUUUGCUGAGGGCCAUCCACUCAAGACAGCAGCACCUCAGCUGUAGCUCCCUCAGCCUCCCCACUUGACUUGCUGGCACGUGCAGUGACAAACCACUGAGGACAAGUUUCUAUCCUGACACAGAUCACUUGCCUUCAUUUGCUGAAAGCUGUGCCAUAUCAGUUUAUAUCUACUUGAGAUGUAACUGUCUAAGGCUGCAAAGUCAAAGAAGGGAAAUAGUACCCCCAAAUAUGAAAGAUAUAGGUCUGUCUAUAUAAAAAAAAAUAUUUUAUUUCAUGGUGACAUCAUUUUUUCUUUUGUGGCAUGGCCUGUACUUGAUUUCAAUCUAAACCACACCCUGGCUCACUGUACUGGAAUGCUGUGCAUAAUGGACAGGUGGGCAAUGUGAGACACAGAACACAAGAAAGCAAAUGCAAAAGCUUCCGUUCAGUUCCUAUCUGAGUAGAAAUCACUGCUUGUUUAUUAUUUGUUUUCCAGGUUUUUUUGCAAGUGGGUUGUUUCCUGUCAAGCUGAGCCCCAUGAUAGAAAUCAUAUAAAACUCAAAUGUCCAAAUGCAAUUUUUUAAAAAUCAGGUCAGGUAAAUCCUAUGAAGAGGGUCAAACAAUAGAAAGAAGAGAGAACAGAAAGGGGGAAAAAAAUGUACGGCUGUCUUUCCUGUUCUCAUUUAACCUGAAUAAGAAAUUAAGCGGAGGGGGGGAGAUAGAAGGAAGAGGAAAGACAGAACUAGAACAAAACUAUUUCAGGAUCUUUUAUGGAUGACAAUCUUUAUAUUUACAUAUGAAACCAGACUGGACAAAGCACUAAAAAUACACCAUAUCUCAUUGGGAACAGCAGCAGGGAAAUACAGCAGUUGACAUAAAUGGCCUUUUUCUAUCAUUAGCCUCUGUGAUUCCAUACCCAUUUCAUUCACAGCGUGUAUCCUUCUUACAAGUCUCUCUGUAAUAAUAGUUCCAGAAAUACAAUCCACCCAGCCCUCAUUCUCUGCACUACUGAGGAGCUGGAGCUUUUUAGUGCUUGCCAUAUUGGUAUGGACAUUGAUGACAGACGUGCUCCUCUCUAUUCCAUUAGUUUUAUACCAUUAUAAUUCAUGCAGGGAAAAAUGUACAAGCAGAAUGUCUCACACAGGUUUUGGGGUGAUUUCUGCAGAAAGAACAGAGGAUGCAGCGUGCUGCAAAACUCCUGGAGGAAAUGAGCACUGUUAUCUCUCUUUGAUGUACACAGAAAUUACUUAUCAGCCAUUAAACAACUGCCUUGACUUUUUACACUUUCUCCCAGUUGUCCAGACCUAGAGUUACCUGUCUUGAUUAGACUAAAGGUGUCUUGUCAGCCUUGCAGCAAAAGCUAUUUUUACAGGGCAAAUUCCCCUCACCUGAUAAUAACAGGGGAUUUGUCAUUACCAAAAAUACUGGGCAUAUGGGGAGUUCCUGUUAACAACAGAAUAAAAGUAAGAGGCAUAUAAGGGGUUUCAGUUAACACCAGAAUAGCCCUUAAAGCACUCUCUGGGAAGGUGAAAGGCCACAUAGGGCACCUACUGUAGGUUUUAAGCCCUACCCAGCACCCAAAUGUCAUAUUUCUUCUUUCCCUUUUAAAGUUACCACUCGGCAGGAGACUCCAACUUGUUUAAGUAUGUGGAUACUCUGACUGAAGCCAAAGGGAUCAGGAACUUUGGUCAAUCAGUGUUUUUGUUUCAGGCUUUUCCCCCAGAGGUUAUCUGAGGAUCACCUUUGAUGUCAUAUUCUGGUUUCUCUGUAUUGUUACAGAACCAACCUGGCAUGCAGUCUGCACCAGGCAAAUACUGUGGAGGCUGAUCUUCUUCUCCACAUAGUCAGCUUCUCAUUGCAGGCUUGUGGAUUUGUUGUUUGGUGUGGGACAAUUUUUUGUUUGGGCUUGGCUGGCCCAGAUUUCUUGUAUGAGGUGCUCUUGCAGCAGGUUGUGAAGGCCAAAAUUCAAUCUAAAUCCAACUGAUGGUUUUAGAAAUAUUUCUAACUCCAAGAUGGCAUGAGACAAGAGGAGAGGAAUGGAAAGGAGAA